rnacentral:rRNA from 1 species
ACGAGUAGGGCUACACACGUGCUACAAUGGCGCAUACAGAGGGCGGCCAACUUGCGAAAGUGAGCGAAUCCCAAAAAGUGCGUCGUAGUCCGGAUUGGAGUCUGCAACUCGACUCCAUGAAGUCGGAAUCGCUAGUAAUCGUGGAUCAGAAUGCCACGGUGAAUACGUUCCCGGGCCUUGUACACACCGCCCGUCACACCAUGGGAG